rnacentral:misc_RNA from 1 species
GUAGGUGAACCUGCGGAAGGAUCAUUAAUGAAUAACUAUGGCGUUGGUUGUAGCUGGCUUUUAGGAGCACUGUGCACACCCGUCAUUCUUAUCUUUCCACCUGUGCACUUAAUGUAGGCCUGGGUAACUCUCACUCAUACCAGAGUGGAUGCAAGGAUUGCAAAGCUUUUUACAAGGCAAUAGCUCUCUUUGAAUUUCCAGGUCUAUGUACCUUUACACACCCCAUUUGUAUAAUAAAGAAUGUAGUCAA